AGAGUUUGAUCAUGGCUCAGGACGAACGCUGGCGGCGUGCUUAACACAUGCAAGUCGAGCGGUAAGGCUCCUUCGGGAGUACACGAGCGGCGAACGGGUGAGUAACACGUGAGCAAUCUGCCCUUCACUUUGGGAUAACUUCCGGAAACGGAAGCUAAUACCGAAUACGACCACUUCACGCAUGUGAUGGUGGUGGAAAGUUCCGGCGGUGAAGGAUGAGCUCGCGGCCUAUCAGCUUGUUGGUGAGGUAAUGGCUCACCAAGGCUUCGACGGGUAGCCGGCCUGAGAGGGUGACCGGCCACACUGGGACUGAGACACGGCCCAGACUCCUACGGGAGGCAGCAGUGGGGAAUAUUGGACAAUGGGCGAAAGCCUGAUCCAGCAACGCCGCGUGAGGGAUGACUGCCUUCGGGUUGUAAACCUCUUUCAGCGGGGACGAAGCGAAAGUGACGGUACCCGCAGAAGAAGCACCGGCCAACUACGUGCCAGCAGCCGCGGUAAUACGUAGGGUGCGAGCGUUGUCCGGAAUUAUUGGGCGUAAAGGGCUCGUAGGCGGUUUGUCACGUCGGGAGUGAAAACUCAGGGCUCAACCCUGAGCCUGCUUCCGAUACGGGCAGACUAGAGGUAUGCAGGGGAGAACGGAAUUCCUGGUGUAGCGGUGAAAUGCGCAGAUAUCAGGAGGAACACCGGUGGCGAAGGCGGUUCUCUGGGCAUUACCUGACGCUGAGGAGCGAAAGUGUGGGGAGCGAACAGGAUUAGAUACCCUAGUAGUCC
rnacentral:rRNA from 1 species